rnacentral:rRNA from 1 species
AGCGAACGCUGGCGGCGUGCCUAACACAUGCAAGUCGAACGUGAACGGGGGCAACUCCUAGUAAAGUGGCGUACGGGUGAGUAACGCGUAGGUAAUCUACCCCAGAGUCUGGAAUAACCGGCCGAAAGGCUGGCUAAUACUGGAUAGAGCGACGGAAUCCGUAAUUGGGUUUUUCGGGAAAGGGGGCUCGCAAGAGCUCUUGCUUUGGGAUGAGCCUGCGUCUCAUUAGCUAGUUGGUAGGGUAACGGCCUACCAAGGCAUUGAUGGGUAGCUGGUCUGAGAGGAUGAUCAGCCACACUGGAACUGAAACACGGUCCAGACUCCUACGGGAGGCAGCAGUGGGGAAUCUUGCGCAAUGGACGAAAGUCUGACGCAGCCACGCCGCGUGAGUGAAGAAGGCCUUCGGGUUGUAAAGCUCUGUCGAGCGGGACGAAAGGUUUGUGGGCUAAUACCCCAUAGAUUCGACGGUACCGCUAAAGGAAGCACCGGCUAACACUGUGCCAGCAGCCGCCGUAA